GCCGAAGUGGUGGAAUGGCAGACACGAGAGAUUCAAAAUCUCUUUCCCGCAAGGGAGUGGGGGUUCAAAUCCCUUCUUCGGCACCA
rnacentral:tRNA from 2 species